UCUUGCAGAUAACUUGCCUUGAAGGCACUUGAUCCUGUCUCACCAUGGAAGCUAAGCAAGGUCAGAUCUGGUUAGGACUUGUAUGAGGGAGCACCAGUGAGAGCCAGGUACUGUAGGAU
rnacentral:rRNA from 1 species